rnacentral:rRNA from 1 species
UACGUAGGGGGCUAGCGUUGUCCGGAUUUAUUGGGCGUAAAGAGCGUGUAGGCGGCCAGGUAGGUCUGCUGUGAAAACUCGAGGCUCAACCUCGAGACGUCGGCGGAAACCAUCUGGCUAGAGUCCGGAAGAGGAGAGUGGAAUUCCUGGUGUAGCGGUGAAAUGCGCAGAUAUCAGGAAGAACACCAAUGGCGAAGGCAGCUCUCGGGGACGGUACUGACGCUGAGACGCGAAAGCGUGGGGAGCGAACAGG